AUUGAACGCUGGCGGCAGGCCUAACACAUGCAAGUCGAACGGUAACAGGAAGAAGCUUGCUUCUUUGCUGACGAGUGGCGGACGGGUGAGUCAUGUCUGGGAAACUGCCUGAUGGAGGGGGAUAACUACUGGAAACGGUAGCUAAUACCGCAUAACGUCGCAAGACCAAAGAGGGGGACCUUCGGGCCUCUUGCCAUCGGAUGUGCCCAGAUGGGAUUAGCUAGUAGGUGGGGUAACGGCUCACCUAGGCGACGAUCCCUAGCUGGUCUGAGAGGAUGACCAGCCACACUGGAACUGAGACACGGUCCAGACUCCUACGGGAGGCAGCAGUGGGGAAUAUUGCACAAUGGGCGCAAGCCUGAUGCAGCCAUGCCGCGUGUAUGAAGAAGGCCUUCGGGUUGUAAAGUACUUUCAGCGGGGAGGAAGGGAGUAAAGUUAAUACCUAUGCUCAUUGACGUUACCCGCAGAAGAAGCACCGGCUAACUACGUG
rnacentral:rRNA from 1 species